CCUCGGCCCCGUUAGGCAACUGUUUAUUUACACUUAUUUUGAAAGGUUUAGAGGCAAACAUACUUCCUUUUUUUAAUGAUGCUACCUCACUUCACUUGACACUUAGGGCAUUUAGAGGAGUAAAUAUUGGAGGCACGUCAUGUCUUUACAAUUAAACAUUAAAUCCGUGAUAGCGUUGGAGUUAUUCGUGCAUCGACGCAGCGUUGGCUGCAGUGCAAUCGCUGUGCUGCAAGCGGGCUAAAAGAAAAGGUGGCUCACGAUAGCUCAACGUCCACCUCAGUGGACUUGGGAUGCUGCGAGGCCAGCGCACAGACGAA